GUCCAGGGUGUUGGUGGGCACGCCGUACUCGUCCGGACCAACGUUCUCCUGCGCAGGGAGGUAGAAGGGAAGCAAAGACUGAUGCACAGAGGGGUGUUACGAAUACAAGCGACAACAAAACAAAAAACGACGACAGUGAUGACAAGAAGCUUGACCAGGCCACAGCCACACUUACCUGGAAGAUGCCUUCGAAGUUCUUGACCUUGAGGUGCGGAGGGAGCUUGAAUUGGUUGCGGAUGUCGUCGCGCCGCUUGCCCGUGUAGGGCACGUCCACGUCUUUCUGGCUGAAUCAAAAGGGGGAAGUUGGUGGUCGGAAAGGCCACACAUGUCUCUAGAAGGACAACUUCAAAACACAAGUCUCACACCAAAAGCCAGGAAGAGAGAGGCAGACAUCUCAGGGACUGGGAUACUCAGACUGAAGGCAUUGAAAUGUCUUAUUGAAAGUGGACAACAUCCAGAAUAAAGAGCUCUCACUUCAAGAGGAAAGCAAUGUGAA